GACGAACGCUGGCGGCGUGCUUAACACAUGCAAGUCGAACGGAAAGGCCCUGCUUUUGUGGGGUGCUCGAGUGGCGAACGGGUGAGUAACAAGUGAGUAACCUGCCCUUGACUUUGGGAUAACUUCAGGAAACUGGGGCUAAUACCGGAUAGGAGCUCCUGCUGCAUGGUGGGGGUUGGAAAGUUUCGGCGGUUGGGGAUGGACUCGCGGCUUAUCAGCUUGUUGGUGGGGGAGUGGCUUACCAAGGCUUUGACGGGUAGCCGGCCUGGGAGGGUGACCGGCCACAUUGGGCCUGAGAGACGGCCCAGACUCCUACGGGAGGCAGCAGUGGGGAAUAUUGCACAAUGGGCGGAAGCCUAAUGCAGCAACGCCGCGUGCGGGAUGACGGCCUUCGGGUUGUAAACCGCUUUCGCCUGUGACGAAGCGUGAGUGACGGUAAUGGGUAAAGAAGCACCGGCUAACUACGUG
rnacentral:rRNA from 1 species